AAAAAAUCCACUCAUGAUUGUACUAGAGACAUUUGUUUUUGUAGCAGUAUUGUCCGCAGUAAUAUGUUUUAUGUACCUCAUAAGGGGUAGUUUGAGGACGAGAAACUUUUUGUAUACAUUUUUUUGCUGUAUAAGUUGUCAAAAAUGUACACACACCAUUGAGACCGCAGACACAGUUGACCAAUAUCAAAUGACAACUGGAAAUAUGUCUAAACGUUUUCAAUCCGUCAAGUUCCAGUAAUAAUUUGAAACAUAACCGACAUGUUCAUGAAAUUUUUCAUCUUUUUAUUUAAGGUGUCUUACAGGUUAUGUAUAUAUACUUCCAUUGUGUCGUUAGUGAUAGGACAGCAACUCUACCUUCAAAUAGUUGAUUUGCUUAAGGUAUGAAAUAUUACACUUUUGAAUUAAUAUUUGAUCUUUUUAGUUUUAGUAUUUACAUCAUUGUUUAAAUUUUUGAAAAAAUGGAUAACUACUUUACAACAACCACCGAACAGCAACAGCCCCUGCUCCCCAAUGAACUUCAACAACUACCAAACGAAAUAACAACAACAACAACAACCGGUCAUCAUUGAAACAAGAAGAUCUGGUAGAGUUAUUAGGCCGGUUAUAAGAUAUUGAUUUGAUAAUAACUAAUAUGUACAUAUUACUUUAUAAUUUUAGUAUAUUGAAGGACAUUAUUGUCUAAUUUUAAAAAUUUACUGUAAAUUGUAAAAAUCUUUGAAAUAGAUCUCGCAG
rnacentral:lncRNA from 1 species